rnacentral:pre_miRNA from 1 species
AAUAGAAUUGCUGGGUUACAUGGUAGGACUAUGUUUAGUCUUUGAGGAACUACCAGACUGAUUUCCAAAGUGGUUGUACCAUUUUUUAUUCCCAUCAACAAU